GGCCCGGCUGGCGCAAUGGUAGCGCGCAAGACUUCUACCCAUGUUCUUCGGGACACAAAAACAACCAAGUUUCUUUCUUGAAGGGGUCCCUCUUCGGGAAAGGAACUUGGUUACGAGAAAGGGAUGAUUAUCUUGAGGCUGCGGGUUCGACCCCCGCGUUGGGCUAUCGC
rnacentral:tRNA from 1 species